rnacentral:rRNA from 1 species
UACGAAGGGGGCUAGCGUUGCUCGGAAUCACUGGGCGUAAAGGGUGCGUAGGCGGGUCUUUUAAGUCAGGGGUGAAAUCCUGGAGCUCAACUCCAGAACUGCCUUUGAUACUGAAGAUCUUGAGUUCGGGAGAGGUGAGUGGAACUGCGAGUGUAGAGGUGAAAUUCGUAGAUAUUCGCAAGAACACCAGUGGCGAAGGCGGCCAACUGGUCCGGUACUGACGCUGAGGUGCGAAAGCGUGGGGAGCAAACAGG